CGAACCACAAAGGAAAGAUUUGAAUUCUCAUGUAUUAAACAUGAAUUCUAGGGUUUGGGAUCCAAACUUCCAUGCAAGUUCCAAAUCUUCACGGUAUAAAACUUCAGACUUCAAAAUUUCAGUUUUAACCCAACUUCAACCAUUCUAAAACACUUUCAAAGAUAUAAAUAUAUAAAUAAAUCACCACUUACACUGUAAAAACUUACCAAAUAUUUUGAACUUAGAGAGAUAGGCCUUCGAAUCUUCAAAUUGGAUCUUCUCACAACGAAUCCCUCAAGACUACAACUCAAUUUCACAAAAUCUGGUAAUUAAAAAUCCGUAACAAUCCAACUUAUAGAAAAAAUUUUAUAAUCAUUUUAUACAUCAAUCUUUGAUAUAAUUAUGUAAUUCUCAAAAUAGUCCCUAAU
rnacentral:lncRNA from 1 species